AAUGAAAUAGAUUUUGAUUGUAUCGUUGCGAAAUCCAUUAUUGACAAACCUGUUAUAUAACAAAUGUCAAUUAUUUUACAAACAAAAUAAAUCGUGGCUCAAUCACCCCAUAACAACCAUGUAUGCACAGACUUACAAUAACGAUAAUAGUACCAUAAUAAUUGCCAAAAGUCCUUUAAAGCAAAACUAAGGGCAAAGGAGAGGAGAUGAAGAAUAAGAUAAAUAAAAGAUAAAUUGUUAGUAGCCCAUCAACGUUACAGGGGCCUUUGGGGUUCAUUAGGGCCUGCAUGGAUUGCAACAUGCCAAGAAGGAAAAUUCCAAUAACACUCAGUAUUCUUGAACUAAUUUUUGGCUCCAUGUUGCUGAGAUUCAAUAAUUUUUUUGACCGAGUAUUCUUGUUCAUACCCAAGAUAACAAUCUGAAACUAGAAUCAGUUUCAUCCCCUGUAAAAUAAAACAAUUUUCAAAUAAAGAUGGGAAAAUAAAAUAAUUAAGUAAGUUAAGAGGAAACACUACUAAACGUGCUUGAUCCGAAUCUUUUUUCCUAUUAAAUCUACUCAAGAGUCCAUUAGUCAUGUCCCCGUCCAAGAACAACCUAGUGAAACUAUUUCUUCACAGAAAGAGAUCUAUUUGAUAGCACUGAAAAUAAGGCGACUAUAAAAUAAUUUCAAAAAUAAACCCGACUUUUAUGCAUUUUUAAUUGAAAUUUAUAUUUAAUGAAUUUUAUUAUUAUAUUUUAAAAUUUUAAUUAUAAAAGUAUACGUCUGCCCCUAAAAUUUUAAUACUGUUUGAAAUCAUAAAUCAUAUAUGAUGUAUUAAUUGGUAAAUGAUGGAGUAGUACAAAAAGAAAAACUUAAAUAUUACAAAAUCGACCAGUGGCCAAUAUCAUACCUUCUUAGCUAGCAUUUGACAAGUGGCCUCUGCAACAGUUUGAGAAGGAGUUGAGUUUCUAGCCUUUGUUGCUCAUUUUUGUUAUCUAUCCUACAAUGAAUAUUCAUGGGAAGAACGUUAAUAACAAUAGAGUUAUGUAUACUUCACUUGUACAUCUUGUGCACCAGUUGAUGUGGCUUCUUACAUCCUUGUGAGUUACAAAGUAAUCAUACUUUUCGAUUAAUUUUAAAAAUAUACUUGAGACAUCAAAAAGUGCUCAUUAUGGUGGCACAGUUGGGUGUAUUUAGCACAAUAUAAGAACACCACCACCACAAUAAUGACACGUGCAUCAUUCGGUGGAUAUAAAGGACAUCAAAAGGAAAAUGAAGAGCAAGAAGUUGAGCAACAUAAUCUUAUACAAGUGUUCGAUGAACCAAUUAAUUAGUUCACUUGAUCACUAGCUGAAAUGGAAAAACAAUUACCAAGUAAAAAGUUUGUGUGAGUAUCAUAUAUUAAAAAGGAUAAGCCAGUUUUUACAUGUCGCAAUUUUGAUCAGUUAGGUACACACAACUGCAUGUCAUAAUAUAAGUUGCAAUUUGUAAUAGCCCUAAGCACCCCCAAAUUUAGUUUGCUGCUUCUGAUCUGUAAACACUAAAUUGUUCAUAAUAACAAAUAGCAAGGCUUACGUGUUUUCAUAAAACCAAAAAACUAAGAUCAUUUCCACCAAAUAAAGUCUCAUAGAAAAAGCAUGUAUUAAAACUUACAAAGGAAGAACAUGGUUAUAAUAGUUCACACCAGACUAUGUGAUUUCAAAACAUAGCCAAAUGCUUACGCAACAAUGAAAUUGAAGAGCACUAAACUCAUAAUCAAAAUGAAUCAUGAAAUUAUACAUCAAUGUGCAACUUAUAUGGUCAGGAAAAUUGCCCUUCUUAAUUUUGUCGCAACUGAAGCAAGCUUUUGAGGAUAAAGUCAUUCACAUGAUGAAACUAAGGAAGAGGAUAAAGUCAUUCACAUGCUGGAAUCAAGCCAAGCCCAAGGGGAAAUGACAAGGAAGAAAUCAAGCUAUAACAAAAAUCGAGCUUGUCAAUCCGCAGGCAGUGGAGGAAGGGAAGGUUGCGAAAAAGCAGACGAACUUGUUAAAGAAAUCAAAACAGAAUUCUAAGCAAAUUCCAAAGACGAAAAAAACAGUUCUUAUGUCAUUCUCUCUGGCUACUGAGAAAAUAAUGAAUGUGAACAUGAUGCAUUCAUCAUUUUUAAAAAAAUGAGCUUUCUUCAAAUCAAAUUAGUAUACAGCAGAAAAAUGAUAUGGAAACUAUUCAUAACAUCAAAUAUUAUUAGUUAUGCAUUCUAUGGUACUAAACUUCUGCUUACAAGCCCUGCCUUCAAGAGUGAUGCUCCCUCCAGUCUACAAAAGAGUCUCAAUUGCUAAUUUUGUUGUUUUGAAAGAGUCUCAUUUAUAUUAAUGAUAGCAUAACAUGGUAUAAUAUCCUCAAAUUUACCAUAAUUCCAUUACCAUGCCAUCACUACUAAACUAACACUUGAUAAAUUUAAGAGUAAACAUGGAACAAAGGUAUACCCUUAAAAAUUUGUAAAUUUUACAAAUGAUACUCUUUUCUGAAAUAAAGGUAGGAUAUUAUUACCUGAAAAAUGAUGAGUCCAAUGAGGACUGGAUGGGUAUCAAACCCAAAGCUUUGAAACAGAUCUUUCGAGUUUCCUCACCAGUGUAUAUCCUCCAGACUGCGAGAAUGAGAGAAUUUGCAACAAUUCCAAUAAAGAACAUCAGAUCUUAGAAUGGCCUCAAAGUUUAUUUUACAAAUAUAACCACUCGUUAAAUGAUCAACUACUUUGAAAGAGAUAAUCAAAACCACAAGUUAAAUGUGAAAUCAAAUUUAAUAAAUUAACUGCUUUGAACAACCUUUUUAUAUAUAUACAAAGCUGCUCAAAAUUACUUGGAGAAUAAGAAUCGAUACAAAGAUAUCUAUUCCUCUUGUCACUUGCAAGUAUGUCAAUUU
rnacentral:lncRNA from 1 species